rnacentral:rRNA from 1 species
UACAGGGGGGGGCAAGCGUUGUUCGGAAUUACUGGGCGUAAAGGGUUCGUAGGUGGCCACUUAAGUCAGACGUGAAAUCCCUCAGCUUAACUGGGGAACUGCGUCUGAUACUGAGUGGCUUGAGUGCAGGAGAGGAAUGCGGAAUUCCAGGUGUAGCGGUGAAAUGCGUAGAUAUCUGGAGGAACACCGGUGGCGAAGGCGGCAUUCUGGACUGUAACUGACACUGAGGAACGAAAGCCAGGGGAGCAAACGGG